CAUUAGAAGAAAAAUAUAACUACUAGAAUCAUGAGUGAAAUUAUUAUAAAAUUUUGAAUAAUUUUAAGACUAGAUAAAUAUUUCUAAAUUUGUUUCAUACUAAAUAUAAAUCAAUUUACACAAUAUCAGUAAUAUGGAAGUGACUGCCUUACUAAGUUCUUGCUAACAUUUCAGCCUUGACAUUUCUUAUUAAUUUCUGCCAAUGGCAUCUCCUUAUUUGUCUUUCUUUGACUAUUAGUAAGAUUUAAAAUGUCCCACAUAUUUAUAGGUUAAUUUUGUGGAUUCUCUGUGUAUUAACUUUAAUUGUUGCACUUGCAAGUGCAGCCCUAAAAAGACAAAAGACAAAAAAAGAACAAUACACACAUUAAUUUCAUUUAUAAAAUCACAUUUGAAUACAAAUUACUAUGUCAUGGUAUUUGGUGACAGGAUAAAUACUCCUUUGUUGCACCAACAAUUAAAGUUAGGUUUCUAGAUGAGUUAUGAUAAUAAACUUAGUAUUUUCCUACUGAUACAUGAGAAAAAAACAAAACAAAAAGCACUCCUGAGAGUUUACCAAUCAAGCAAAAUAACUGGUGUAGUCUUUAAUAUUUAGGACAAUGAUUAUCUAUGUAUUAAACAAACAAAAAAGGUUAGGUUUUUUUUUUUCUAUAAGUAAAUUUUCUACAUCAGAGGUACCUUGAACUUCAAAGUUAUUUUACUACCAAGGGAUCAAAACACUAUGAAUAUUCAUAUCUUCAUAUCUACCUACUUAAGCUGACUCACACUUUCUUUCUUUCUUUCUUUUUCGCUUUUUAGGCAAAGGAGUAGAAUAAGGAGGUUCCCAGGCUAGGGGUCGAAUUGGAGUUGCAGCCACCAGCCUACACCACAGCCAUAGCACCUCAGGAUCCAAGCUGCAUCUGUGACCUACACCACAGCUCACGGCAACGCCGGAUCCUUAACCCACUGAGCGAGGACAGGAAUUGAACCUACAACCUCAUGAUUAUGAGUUGGAUUUGUUUCCGCUGCACCACAACGUAACUCCUGAACCACACUUUCCAUCAUCGAACUGGAAGCACUUCAUCAACAAUCCAGGAAGACAGGGCAUUCCAGGAUGACCAUUCACUCCGUUUGUGGAAAUAAAGUAGCCUUCAGUCCUUUACAAUUUUGCUGAACAAUGACUGCUAAGAGAAGUUUCAAAUAUUUGCUGGAGAUACUCUUGGAAAAUAGAGGGCAAUUUACUGGC
rnacentral:lncRNA from 1 species